CCCUUAGAUGUUCUGGGCCGCACGCGCGCUACACUGAUGCAUUCAACGAGUCUAAAACCUGGUCUGAUAGGGCUGGGUAAUCUUUUGAAUGUGCAUCGUGAUUGGGAUAGAUGAUUGCAAUUCUUCAUCUUCAACGAGGAAUGCCUAGUAAACGCAAGUCAUCAGCUUGCAUUGAUUACGUCCCUGCCCUUUGUACACACCGCCCGUCGCUCCUACCGAUUGGAUGUUCCGAUGAAUACCAUGGACUGAGAGUAUGAAUGGGUUCGCCUAUUUCUGCUUCUCGGGAAGUGGAGUAAAUCUUAUCAUUUAGAGGAAGGAGAAGUCGUAACA
rnacentral:rRNA from 1 species